AUUGAACGCUGGCGGCAUGCUUUACACAUGCAAGUCGAACGGCAGCAUGGGUGCUUGCACCUGAUGGCGAGUGGCGAACGGGUGAGUAAUGUAUCGGAACAUAUCCGCAAGUGGGGGAUAACGUAGCGAAAGUUACGCUAAUAACGCAUAUUCCCUGAGGGGUAAAGGAGGGGAUCCGCAAGGACCUUUCGCUUACGGAGUGGCCGAUAUCAGAUUAGCUAGUUGGUGAGGUAAAGGCUCACCAAGGCGACGAUCUGUAGCGGGUCUGAGAGGAUGAUCCGCCACACUGGGACUGAGACACGGCCCAGACUCCUACGGGAGGCAGCAGUGGGGAAUUUUGGACAAUGGGCGCAAGCCUGAUCCAGCCAUGCCGCGUGAGUGAAGAAGGCCUUCGGGUUGUAAAGCUCUUUCAGUUGGAAAAAAAUCGCUUCACCUAAUACGUGGAGUGGAUGAUGGUACCAGCAGAAGAAGCACCGGCUAACUACGUGCCAGCAGCCGCAGUAAGAC
rnacentral:rRNA from 1 species